GUUCUAGAUACUUUUCUGUACUUUGUAUCUGGCGUACUUCACCUAAUUUCGUCCGCAGUCUUAGGCUUCGGUGGCAUUUAUCACGUGCUUCUGGGACCCGAGACUCUUGAGGAAUCUUUUCCAUUCUUUGGUUAUGUCUGGAAAGAUAGAAAUAAAAUGACUACAAUUUUGGGUAUUCACUUAAUUUUGUUAGGUCUAGGUGCUUUUCUUCUAGUACUCAAGGCUCUUUAUUUUGGCGGUGUAUAUGAUACCUGGGCCCCUGGGGGAGAUGUAAGAAAAAUUACCAAUUUGACCCUUAGUUCCAGUGUUAUAUUUGGUUAUUUACUAAAAUCAUUUUACUCGUUGGUGUCAAUUAGGCGCCCUUUUUUCCUAUUUUUAAACUCAAAUUGA
rnacentral:rRNA from 1 species